rnacentral:rRNA from 1 species
UACGUAGGGCGCAAGCGUUGUCCGGAAUUAUUGGGCGUAAAGAGCUCGUAGGCGGCCUGUUACGUCUGCUGUGAAAUCCCGGGGCUUAACCCCGGGCGUGCAGUGGAUACGGGCAGGCUGGAGGCAGGCAGGGGAGAACGGAAUUCCCGGUGUGAGCGGUGAAAUGCGCAGAUAUCGGGAGGAACGACCGGUGGCGAAGGCGGUUCUCUGGGCCUGUACUGACGCUGAGGAGCGAAAGCGUGGGGAGCGAACAGG